UACGAGGGGGGCGAGUGUUGUUCGGAAUUACUGGGCGUAAAGGGAGCGUAGGCGGGAGUUUAAGUCGGAUGUUUAAUCCCGGGGCCUAACCCCGGACUGGCGUCUGAAACUGGAUUUCUUGAAUACAACAGAGGUGGAUGGAAUUCCCGGUGUAGCGGUGGAAUGCGUAGAUAUCGGGAGGAACACCGGCAGCGAAGGCGAUCCACUGGGUUGAUAUUGACGCUGAGGCUCGAAAGUGUGGGGAGCGAACAGGAUUAGAUACCCGCGUA
rnacentral:rRNA from 1 species